rnacentral:rRNA from 1 species
UACGGAGGGUGCAAGCGUUAUCCGGAUUUAUUGGGUUUAAAGGGUCCGUAGGCGGACUCGUAAGUCAGUGGUGAAAUCUCAUAGCUUAACUAUGAAACUGCCAUUGAUACUGCGGGUCUUGAGUAAGGUAGAGGUAGCUGGAAUAAGUAGUGUAGCGGUGAAAUGCAUAGAUAUUACUUAGAACACCAAUUGCGAAGGCAGGUUACCAUGUCUUAACUGACGCUGAUGGACGAAAGCGUGGGGAUCAAACAGG